GAAAUGCGAUAAGUAGUGUGAAUUGCAGAAUUCAGUGAAUCAUCGAAUCUUUGAACGCACAUUGCGCCCUUUGGUAUUCCUUAGGGCAUGCCUGUUCGAGCGUCAUUCAAACCUUCAAGCUCUGCUUGGUGUUGGGUGUCUGUCCCGCCCCCGGGCGCGGACUCGCCUCAAAUUCAUUGGCGGCCGGUACGUUGGCUUCGAGCGCAGCAGAAACGCGAACUCGAUCCCGGCGGGUCGGCUCCCAGAAGCUAUACUCAAUGAUUUUGACCUCGGAUCAGGUAGGGAUACCCGCUGAACUUAA
rnacentral:misc_RNA from 1 species